rnacentral:rRNA from 1 species
CCUACGGGGAGCAGCAGUGAGGAAUAUUGGUCAAUGGACGCAAGUCUGAACCAGCCAUGCCGCGUGCAGGAAGACGGCUCUAUGAGUUGUAAACUGCUUUUGUACGAGGGUAAACGCAGAUACGCGUAUCUGUCUGAAAGUAUCGUACGAAUAAGGAUCGGCUAACUCCGUGCCAGCAGCCGCGGUAAUACGGAGGAUUCAAGCGUUAUCCGGAUUUAUUGGGUGUAAAGGGUGCGUAGGCGGUCGGAUAAGUUAGAGGUGAGAUCCCGAGGCUCAACUUCGGAAUUGCCUGUGAUACUGUUCGGCGAGAGAGUAGUUGCGGUAGGCGGAAUGUAUGGUGUAGCGGUGAAAUGCUUAGAGAUCAUACAGAACACCGAGUGCGAAGGCAGCUUACCAAGCUACUUCUGACGUUGAGGCACGAAAGCGUGGGGAGCAAACAGGAUUAGAUACCCUUGUAGUG